rnacentral:misc_RNA from 1 species
GAUAGAACGCAGCGAAAUGCGAUAAGUAAUGUGAAUUGCAGAAUUCAGUGAAUCAUCGAGUCUUUGAACGCACAUUGCGCCCCCUGGUAUUCCGGGGGGCAUGCCUGUCCGAGCGUCAUUGCUGCCCUCAAGCACGGCUUGUGUGUUGGGCCCCCGUCCCCGGUUUCCCCCGGGGACGGGCCCGAAAGGCAGCGGCGGCACCGCGUCCGGUCCUCGAGCGUAUGGGGCUUUGUCACCCGCUCUGUAGGCCCGGCCGGCGCCAGCCGACACCCAACUUUAUUUCUAAGGUUGACCUCGGAUCAGGUAGGGAUACCCGCUGAACUUAAGCAUAUCAAUAAGCGGAGGA